rnacentral:rRNA from 1 species
GAUGAACGCUGGCGGCGUGCCUAAUACAUGCAAGUCGAGCGAACAGACGGGGAGCUUGCUCCUCUGACGUUAGCGGCGGACGGGUGAGUAACACGUGGAUAACCUACCUAUAAGACUGGGAUAACUUCGGGAAACCGGAGCUAAUACCGGAUAAUAUAUUGAACCGCAUGGUUCAAUAGUGAAAGACGGUUUUGCUGUCACUUAUAGAUGGAUCCGCGCCGCAUUAGCUAGUUGGUAAGGUAACGGCUUACCAAGGCAACGAUGCGUAGCCGACCUGAGAGGGUGAUCGGCCACUCUGGAACUGAGACACGGUCCAGACUCCUACGGGAGGCAGCAGUAGGGAAUCUUCCGCAAUGGGCGAAAGCCUGACGGAGCAACGCCGCGUGAGUGAUGAAGGUCUUCGGAUCGUAAAACUCUGUUAUUAGGGAAGAACAAAUGUGUAAGUAACUAUGCACGUCUUGACGGUACCUAAUCAGAAAGCCACGGCUAACUACGUG